GAUGAACGCUGGCUACAGGCUUAACACAUGCAAGUCGAGGGGAAACGACGGGGAAGCUUGCUUCCCCGGGCGUCGACCGGCGCACGGGUGAGUAACGCGUAUCCAACCUGCCUCUGACUGAGGGAUAACCCGUCGAAAGUCGGCCUAAUACCUCAUGGUAUCGUCUGCGGGCAUCCAACGACGAUUAAAGAUUUCAUCGGUCAGGGAUGGGGAUGCGUCUGAUUAGCUUGUUGGCGGGGUAACGGCCCACCAAGGCUACGAUCAGUAGGGGUUCUGAGAGGAAGGUCCCCCACAUUGGAACUGAGACACGGUCCAAACUCCUACGGGAGGCAGCAGUGAGGAAUAUUGGUCAAUGGGCGAGAGCCUGAACCAGCCAAGUAGCGUGCAGGAAGACGGCCCUAUGGGUUGUAAACUGCUGUUAUGCGGGGAUAAAGUGAGGGACGUGUCCCUCAUUGCAGGUACCGCAUGAAUAAGGACCGGCUAAUUCCGUG
rnacentral:rRNA from 1 species